rnacentral:rRNA from 1 species
AGCGAACGCUGGCGGCAGGCUUAACACAUGCAAGUCGAGCGGGCCCUUCGGGGUCAGCGGCGGACGGGUGAGUAACGCGUGGGAAUGUGCCUUCUGGUCUGGAAUAACCCUGGGAAACUAGGGCUAAUCCCGGAUACGCCCUUUUGGGGAAAGGUUUACUGCCGGAAGAUCGGCCCGCGUCUGAUUAGCUAGUUGGUGGGGUAACGGCCUACCAAGGCGACGAUCAGUAGCUGGUCUGAGAGGAUGAUCAGCCACACUGGGACUGAGACACGGCCCAGACUCCUACGGGAGGCAGCAGUGGGGAAUAUUGGACAAUGGGCGCAAGCCUGAUCCAGCCAUGCCGCGUGAGUGAUGAAGGCCUUAGGGUUGUAAAGCUCUUUUAUCCGGGACGAUAAUGACGGUACCGGAGGAAUAAGCCCCGGCUAACUUCGUG